AGCUCUGGUAGCCCAGUGGUUAAAGUGUCCGCCUCGGAUGCUGGAGGUCUUGGGUUCAAUCUCCGGGCCGAGUUA